AGAGUUUGAUUCUGGCUCAGGAUGAACGCUAGCGACAGGCUUAACACAUGCAAGUCGAGGGGCAGCACGGUGUAGCAAUACACUGGUGGCGACCGGCGCACGGGUGAGUAACACGUGUGCAACCAACCCCGUACCGGGAGAUAACCUGCGGAAACGUGGACUAACAUCCCAUAACACUGUAUCAUCGCAUGGUGAUACAUUUAAAAUUCCGGUGGUACGGGACGGGCACGCGCGACAUUAGGUAGUUGGCGGGGUAACGGCCCACCAAGCCGACGAUGUCUAGGGGUUCUGAGAGGAAGGUCCCCCACACUGGAACUGAGACACGGUCCAG
rnacentral:rRNA from 1 species